UUACACAUGCAAGUCGAGUGGUAUAGUUCUUCGGAGCUAGAGACCGGCGCACGGGUGCGUAACGCGUAUGCAAUCUACCUUUUACAGAGGGAUAGCCCAGAGAAAUUUGGAUUAAUACCUCAUAGUAUGUGAGAAUCGCAUGGUUUUCACAUUAAAGUCACAACGGUAAAAGAUGAGCAUGCGUCCCAUUAGCUAGAUGGUAAGGUAACGGCUUACCAUGGCAACGAUGGGUAGGGGUCCUGAGAGGGAGAUCCCCCACACUGGUACUGAGACACGGACCAGACUCCUACGGGAGGCAGCAGUGAGGAAUAUUGGACAAUGGGCGCAAGCCUGAUCCAGCCAUGCCGCGUGCAGGAUGACGGUCCUAUGGAUUGUAAACUGCUUUUGUACAGGAAGAAACACUCCCUCGUGAGGGAGCUUGACGGUACUGUAAGAAUAAGGAUCGGCUAACUCCGUGCCAGCAGCCGCGGUAAUACGGAGGAUCCAAGCGUUAUCCGGAAUCAUUGGGUUUAAAGGGUCCGUAGGCGGUUUAAUAAGUCAGUGGUGAAAGCCCAUCGCUCAACGGUGGAACGGCCAUUGAUACUGUUAAACUUGAAUUAUUAGGAAGUAACUAGAAUAUGUAGUGUAGCGGUGAAAUGCUUAGAGAUUACAUGGAAUACCAAUUGCGAAGGCAGGUUACUACUAAUGGAUUGACGCUGAUGGACGAAAGCGUGGGUAGCGAACAGGAUUAGAUACCCUGGUAGUCCGCGCCGUAAACGAUGGAUACUAGCUGUUGGGAGCAAUCUCAGUGGCUAAGCGAAAGUGAUAAGUAUCCCACCUGGGGAGUACGUUCGCAAGAAUGAAACUCAAAGGAAUUGACGGGGGCCCGCACAAGCGGUGGAGCAUGUGGUUUAAUUCGAUGAUACGCGAGGAACUUACCCAAGCUUAAAUGUAGUUUGACCGAUUUGGAA
rnacentral:rRNA from 1 species